AUGGACGGGACCUGGACAAUCCUCUUCCUCCUGACAGCAGUCACAGGUGUCAGCUCACAAGUGCAGCUGGUGCAGCCAGGGGCUGAGCUGAGGGCGCCUGGGGCCUCGGUGAAGGUCUCCUGCAAGGCUUCUGGAUACACCCUCACCAGCUGUGCUGAGCUGGGGGCGACAGGCCCCUGGAAAGGGACUGGAGUCUAUGGGAUGGAUCAACACCGACACUGGGAAGCCAACAUAUGCCCAGGGCUUCUCGGACCGAUGUGUCUUCUCCAUGGACACUUCCAUCAGCACAGCCUAUCUGCAGAUCAGCAGCCUGAAGUCUGAGGACACGGCCACGUGUUACUGUGCGAGAGACACAGUGUGACCACCCACAUCUGGAGGGUGUCUGGAACCCCAGAGGACAGGGCAGCUGUGCUGGGCUGGGGCAGCGACAGGAGCACCUUGGGUGCAGCCUUCCUUUGACUUCAGGUUAUGAAUUUAAAGCUGAGAAAACAAGGGAACCUAGCUUUGGGAUUGUCAACAAACGUUUUUAGUGCUAGUUUGGAAAACCAGCUCUUGGGAGGGGAGGAGUAGGGAAACAGAACACGGCACCUGUUCUGGUGCUGCUUCCUGGUCUCCUUGGUGUAAAUACUGUCACCGUGGGGGAUGGGCGUGAGGCCACUGAACACGCAGUGCUCGGAGGGUGCUGGGUCCUCUCUCCUGAGCAGCCAGCUAACUCCCACGUGGUCAGAGACGAUGACCUUCAGUCUAGUCUGUGGGUGACACCUGG